rnacentral:rRNA from 1 species
CCCUUAGAUGUUCUGGGCCGCACGCGCGCUACACUGAUACAUUCAACGAGUUUCUUCCUGGUCCGAGAGGAAUGGGUAACCUUUUGAAAGUGCAUCGUGAUAGGGAUAGACUAUUGCAAUUAUUGGUCUUCAACGAGGAAUUCCUAGUAGACGUAGUUCAUCAGACUGCAUCGAUUACGUCCCUGCCCUUUGUACACACCGCCCGUCGCUCCUACCGAUGAAUCGUCCGGUGAAGUUCACAGAGUGGCGGUUCGUGGAGUUGCUCGCGAAGUGAAAUGGACCUCACGAUUUAGAGGAAGGAGAAGUCGUAACA